rnacentral:rRNA from 1 species
UGAACGCUGGCGGCGUGCCUAAUACAUGCAAGUCGAGCGAACAGACGAGGAGCUUGCUCCUCUGACGUUAGCGGCGGACGGGUGAGUAACACGUGGAUAACCUACCUAUAAGACUGGGAUAACUUCGGGAAACCGGAGCUAAUACCGGAUAAUAUAUUGAACCGCAUGGUUCCAUAGUGAAAGACGGUUUUGCUGUCACUUAUAGAUGGAUCCGCGCCGCAUUAGCUAGUUGGUAAGGUAACGGCUUACCAAGGCGACGAUGCGUAGCCGACCUGAGAGGGUGUUCGGCCACGCUGGAACUGAGACACGGUCCAGACUCCUACGGGAGGCAGCAGUAGGGAAUCUUCCGCAAUGGGCGAAAGCCUGACGGAGCAACGCCGCGUGAGUGAUGAAGGUCUUCGGAUCGUAAAACUCUGUUAUUAGGGAAGAACAAAUGUGUAAGUAACUAUGCACGUCUUGACGGUACCUAAUCAGAAAGCCACGGCUAACUACGUG